rnacentral:lncRNA from 1 species
GUCUUGUUCCCAGGGAGUUGGGCUCCUUCCUUCUCCAGACUUUUGUAAACAUGGGCAGUGGUACAUUUAGUACAAGAGCAGCACCUUCUCUCUAGAUCAGGGGAGAAAACAAUCUCCACUCUCUUAUUGGUCCCUCUCCAGGUCCUCGCUGCUCAGCUGCACAGAGUUGAAGCCCCAGGUGGACAUGUGGCCUCCCAGCGGUGGCUUCCUGAACAGCACAUACAGGGACCUGCUCCUCCCAGAUGACCCUUCCCCAGGACCCCAUCCUGUCCUCCACCUGCCCAGGAACGGACAGGGAAAUCAGAUGUGAGAGACUAGAAGUAACAGAUAAAGUCCAUCACGCAUCAAAUAUCUGCAGAAACUACUGUAGGUUGACAAGAUCAAGACAAAACAGAUCGAAUUCCCAGGGUGUGUUUCAGCUGUUGGGAAGCAACAUGGAGGGUCAGAUGAUCAUGAAGGCAGGAGCUGUGUUUUAUUUUCCAUGAAUUCUCUGUGCCGCCCAGUCAAUGUUUGCUGCAUUAAAUCCAGGCACACUUGGUAUAGAAAAUGCAACCUUGUGCCUAUGUUAGUUCUCAUAUUGAAUAUGUCUGGGCCUCUGCCAAUCUUUUCUGUUCUUUGCACUUCACAAAUUGGUGACAGGGCAGCAGAUAC